rnacentral:rRNA from 1 species
UACAGAGGUGGCAAGCGUUGUUCGGAAUUACUGGGCGUAAAGGGCGCGUAGGCGGCCUCGCAAGUCCCGUGUGAAAUCCCUCGGCUCAACUGAGGAAUGGCACGGGGAAACUGCGGGGCUUGAGUUCGGGAGAGGGAAGCGGAAUUCCGGGUGUAGCGGUGAAAUGCGUAGGUAUCCGGAGGAACACCGGUGGCGAAGGCGGCUUCCUGGACCGAUACUGACGCUGAGGCGCGAAAGCUAGGGGAGCAAACGGGG